UGCAGAGCUGUGGUGGCUCCGCCCAGUUCAAACUUCCAGGUGGCUUUGUUAAUGCUGUGAGGGGAAAAUGGGCUACUCAAGCCUCAGUAAUGGCAGACGACCUUCCCCCCACCAAGCUGGAGCAUCUUAGGUCGACUUUAGACUGCUGUGCUGGCAGUGAGAAUUGCAAGCCUGUGGACCUUAGCUUGCUGGGCUCCGUGGCAUUGAGAUCUGCUGAGCUAGACCACACGGCUCCCUGGCUUCAGUCUCUUUUCCAGGGGAGUGAACAGUUCUGUCUCGCUGACAUUCCAAGCACCACUGAGGUAUGGAAAACAACAACAACAACAUCAACAACAAAAACUGCAGCUAGCUCGGUGUCUGCCCAGUUUUGUGCUUGAUACCCAGGACCCAGGUGGCAUAGGCAUCAGAGGAAAUCUCCUGAUCUGCGGGUUGCGAAGAAUGUGGGAAAAGUGUAGUAUCUGGGCUGGAGUUCCAGGACACAGUCCUCAAGGCACAGUCCCUCACAGAUUCCCUUGGCUGCGGGAGGGAGUUCCCCGACCCCUUGUACUUCCCAGAAAUGCAAGCUGUGCUGCCUGGAGUUGGAGGAGCGGUGAUGCACACACUCCCUCGGCCACCUCAGCUGGUGUUUCACUGGGUCAUGGGCACCCCAAGUCUGCCAGCUCCAAGCCCAGCACAGCCCUAGAACUAGCCCAGGAAUUGCAGUCCUUGUGGCUUAGACUGCCUUUUAAGUUUACUUGGGACCCUAGAGCCCUUUAGCCCAUGAUGAUGGGGGUUGCUGGAACUCAGAUUCCCACUACCAGGAUGGAUAAUUUCCCUGUGGCUAGGGCUAGUCUAAAAGCUCCCUCCAUGGGUGCUGGCUGAAGUCUGCCUUGUAUUGCUUUCCAUUAUGACAGGGCAGCACUGAAUUCCAGUGCAAAGCCCCACAAUUACUGUACUGUCCUUCCCCCAAGUGUACAGAUUCUCUCUUCUGCCCCACAUAGUGCCACCAGGGGAUGGGGGAGCAGUGGUGUCAGGAAUUUAAGACUGUCUUUCCUACCCUCUUCAGUGUCUCUUUCCUUAACAUGAUGUUAAAACCAGGUACUGUGAUCACUCACUUGCUUUUUGGUUCUUAUGAAGGUGAUUUCUUCUGUGGAUAGUAGUUCAAUUUGGUGUUCCUGUGAGGAGGACAGUCACUGAAGGGUUCUGUUUGGCCAUCUUGCUCCCUUGUUUUUUGUUUACAUUGUCUAUGUCACCUCACAUAGUCCAGAAUGUACUGAGUGAAUUUAAUAAAUGUUUGUUGCAGUAAUGAAUAAACGAGAAGUAAACUUUCUUUAAGUUUUGGAACCUAAAAUAAUAAGUUUUAGUUGGGAAAACUCCCUAAUAACAUCCUUGGGAGUACAAGUAUGAUUAACAAAGAUUACUUAUCUCAGAAAGGUAAAUUUUAUAUGUGAAAACACUUUUAUAUGAAGUUUGAAAAUAUAUUUGGAAUAAAUAUAAGGAAUCAGUGAGAGAAUAGUCAAUGUGUAGAGGCAAAUCAGAAAAGUGAGAUUCAAGACCUGCCUUCACACUCUUUUUAAGUUUGAGCAUGUACUUAACCUCUUUGACCUCCAAAUCUCUCCUUUGGUCUUAUAUACAAUCAGGUGUUUCUAAUUAUAAUAGAUGAUGAUGUGUGAGAGAAUAUAUUGUUAACUGCAAAUCUUAUAAUAAUAAAAGCUGUAAUAAUACAUUUACAAACUAGCAUAAUUUCAUUGAGCAACAGAAAUUGUGAAGACAGCAUUUAUUUUCUUUAAAACAAUGAUGUAUUUCAUAAUUCACAUAUUUUGCUUUUCAAAUAAUUGUUUAUUAAAAUUUGUAUUUGUAUUGAUUGAGCACUUAUGAAUUAGAUAAGUAAUGCCAUAUUAUUUUAUAUCAUCUGUUAUCUGUGUCCAGUGGAUUUAUACAAUCUCACAUUUUUUAUCUGGUCAUGUACAAGGGUGUGAAUUCACCCGAAACACUCAGAGUGAUUCUGCUAUCUGUAUACAAUCCUAUAGCAUUUGCUUUGAUAUUAAAGAAUGCCAUCAAACAGAAAAUGAUGUGGUCAUUAAAUGUAGGGUAAAACCAAAGUUUAUGAUAUGAAUUCUAAAAACAUCAUAUGACUUCAAGUGAACUUUGAGACUUGUCUCAAUUUGAAAAUUGCUGUCUACUUCAUUUUACUGAAGAAAAGGAUAAGAGCAAAUAGAUUAUAAGUCACUGCAGACAAAACAAUUUAUUUUCCAGACUAAAGAGAAUUAUGAAAAACCAGACAUUUAAAUUGGUAGAAAAAAG
rnacentral:lncRNA from 1 species